CUAACGCACACUUCUGUGGUCUCAAUAUUAUGGGAAAAUUCAAAUGAAUCUAAACUAAUAAAGGAAAUGAAUCAGUGAUUUUGAAACUGAAAUAAAUAAGAAAAUCACCUUCCCACCCACCCAAAGUAUUUUUUUAUGAUCUAAAAGAAUUCGAGGAUAGCAACUAGAUUUACCUGAAUAUCUGACAUCAGUGUUAGAAGUAGGGAUUAAACCUUGUAAAAAUAAAAAUAAAAUAAAAUAAAAAAACAGCACAACAGCCAGAUUUUAACAAAAAUGUGAUGAAAGAAAACAGUCAAACUUUAAAAGAAUCAACGGAAAGAACUGAAAUGACCUGAAUAAAAACGUUGUUAUGUGGUUAUGUUUUUUGUUAUACAAUGAAAGUGAACAAAAAGUGUGUUUMAUGGCCUUGUGUGUUUGGAAUUAUUCAAGUAUGUUUGUUACAGUGAGACAAAGGUUCGGAGACACUCCGUUUCUGUCUGUGGACGCCUGCAUGCCUUUCCGCCGCCUGGGUGGACGGACCCGGACGUGUGUGUGUGUGUGUGUGUGUGUGUGUGUAUGUGUGUGUGUACCCCUUUUCUUUACCCGUUCAAAAAACAAAACAAAAAAGAACAUUUUUGAUAAGACUUAUCAGGGUGUUUGUCUGGUUUUUCUUCUUCUUCUAAACUGUGAACAAACAUUGACCAACUAGCCAGGAGCAGAAGCUUAAAAAAAAUACAGACAUGUGGUACAGAACGCAGAUAUCGCCAUCUGGGAAAGGCAUUAUCUUCUUUUAGGAUCACACAAGUAAUUGCACUACAAUAAGCACUUAUGUACAGUAUGGUACACCACAGCAAGCACAGGAAUAGCAAACAGGAAGGGAGGAAAGGGGGGAG